rnacentral:lncRNA from 1 species
CCUCUCAGGUCUAUGCGAACUCUUUUAGUCCGUCCAGGAAGCUGUGUUUCUUUUUCAUUGGUUGUUUAUGUAGUUGUCGGCUAUGUAAACGAUUUUGUUUACCUCUUCCUUAAAACUACCAAUGUGUUCUAAUUCGGAUCUGAAGUCUGGUAAAUUAGUGAAUCCCUCCAUGACGUACAUGUCUUAGCGGACAACUUCGGAAAGUAGAACAAACAACAAAGAAAAGUUAUAUUAAUCAAGUUUUCAGUAGGACUAUGGAAUUCUAUCAAUUUAAAGAGUUUCAAUGAUACACGACACUGAAUAGAAUGGUUUAGAGUGUAAUGGUUUAUCAUUGGAGGUGAGAGUUAAGCGAUGAAGUGGGAGAACCCUAGGCCCUAGUUUAGAGACGGUGAGAAAGAAUAGACGAUUAGGAGACUUCUUUGGGUCUGUCUGACGCAUCAGCCUUACCUUUUAAGGCUUAUGUAGAAAAUGGGUGCGAUAGGCCGCAAGUUAAUUAACAUGACCCAACAACCAUUAAUUCAUUACACAGCCAUGUU